UGCAGUCGACGGCAGCACAGGAGAGCUUGCUCUCUGGGUGGCGAGUGGCGGACGGGUGAGGAAUACAUCGGAAUCUACUCUGUCGUGGGGGAUAACGUAGGGAAACUUACGCUAAUACCGCAUACGACCUACGGGUGAAAGUGGGGGACCGCAAGGCCUCACGCGAUUGAAUGAGCCGAUGUCGGAUUAGCUAGUUGGCGGGGUAAAGGCCCACCAAGGCGACGAUCCGUAGCUGGUCUGAGAGGAUGAUCAGCCACACUGGAACUGAGACACGGUCCAGACUCCUACGGGAGGCAGCAGUGGGGAAUAUUGGACAAUGGGCGCAAGCCUGAUCCAGCCAUACCGCGUGGGUGAAGAAGGCCUUCGGGUUGUAAAGCCCUUUUGUUGGGAAAGAAAUCCUGUUGAUUAAUACUCGACAGGGAUGACGGUACCCAAAGAAUAAGCACCGGCUAACUUCGUGCCAGCAGCCGCGGUAAUACGAAGGGUGCAAGCGUUACUCGGAAUUACUGGGCGUAAAGCGUGCGUAGGUGGUGGUUUAAGUCUGUUGUGAAAGCCCUGGGCUCAACCUGGGAAUUGCAGUGGAUACUGGAUCACUAGAGUGUGGUAGAGGGAUGCGGAAUUUCCGGUGUAGCAGUGAAAUGCGUAGAGAUCGGAAGGAACAUCUGUGGCGAAGGCGGCAUCCUGGGCCAACACUGACACUGAGGCACGAAAGCG
rnacentral:rRNA from 1 species